CCAGGUGGCUCAAUGGAAAAGAAUCUGCCUGCCAAGCAGGAGACACAGGUUCGAGCCCUGAGUCUGGA
rnacentral:tRNA from 1 species